rnacentral:misc_RNA from 1 species
AACGCACCUUGCACUCUUUGGUAUUCCGAGGAGUAUGCCUGUUUGAGUGUCAUUAAAUUCUCAAACUACCUCUUGUUUUAGAGGCAGUUUGGAUUUGAGAGCUUGCUGGUUUUCUUUAAAUCAGCUCUCUUUAAAUGCAUUAGUAGUUUGGCUUCGUCCCACAUUCUCAAUUAAUGUGAUAGUUUAUCUACAUUAUUAGAGAAUGAAUCUGCUUAUAACCUGCUUGGUUCUCUUCUGACCAAUGCUUUUUGACAAUUUGACCUCAAAUCAGGUAGGAUUACCCGCUGAACUUAA